AGAUUGAACGCUGGCGGAAUGCUUUACACAUGCAAGUCGAACGGCAGCACGGGGGCAACCCUGGUGGCGAGUGGCGAACGGGUGAGUAAUACAUCGGAACGUGCCCAGUCGUGGGGGAUAACGUAGCGAAAGCUACGCUAAUACCGCAUACGAACUCUGGUUGAAAGCGGGGGACUCGCAAGAGCCUCGCGCGAUUGGAGCGGCCGAUGGCAGAUUAGGUAGUUGGUGGGGUAAAGGCUCACCAAGCCUGCGAUCUGUAGCUGGUCUGAGAGGACGACCAGCCACACUGGGACUGA
rnacentral:rRNA from 1 species